rnacentral:rRNA from 1 species
CCUACGGGUGGCAGCAGUGAGGAAUAUUGGUCAAUGGCCGCAAGGCUGAACCAGCCAAGCCGCGUGAGGGAGGAAGGCGCAGAGCGUCGCAGACCUCUUUUGCCAGGGGACAAAAGGCCGGACGGGUCCGGUUAUGAGGGUACCCGUAGAAAAAGCAUCGGCUAACUCCGUGCCCGCAGCCGCGGUAAUACGGAGGAUGUGAGCGUUAUCCGGAUUCAUUGGGUUUAAAGGGUGCGCGGGGGGGCCUUUAAGCCGGCGGGGAAAUUGCGGGGCUCAACCCCACAGUGCCGUGGGAACUGGGAGCCUUGAGUGCAGCGGAGGCAUGCGGAAUGCGCGGUGUAGCGGUGAAAUGCAUAGAUAUCGCGCAGAACCCCGAUUGCGAAGGCAGCGUGC